AAAAAAUCUUGCUAGGAAAUAGAAGACAUCUUUUAAUACUGCUUCAACAAGUGUCAUAAGAGAAAGCGUGGGAACACAUCGAUUCUAAUGAUGAAAUCAGUGAUGAUGGUGAUACCGACACUGAUUUUGAAGAUGAAGAUGAUUGUGUAAAUUUUUUACCCCGACAAGAGGUUGAUUCCGGAAAACAGGUAGAGCACAACCUUAUUGUGACUAGAUGCUCGUUUGAAAGGGUCAACCGUAUUUUGUGUAAGAUAUCUGAGGCGCGGAAAUAAAUGGUGAGAGCUACUGGGUUUGGGGCAUUUCUCAGGCAAGAUUUCCCAAAUAUAUGCACUCCUUUAGUGUAGUGGCUAAUUAAAAAUGUCGAUGUGGUCAUAACAUUUUGAAUAUCUAUGGGAAGGGGUUGCACAUGUCAGGGAAGAUAUUCUAGUAGGUGAUGUGUGUACCUGAUGGCAGUGAAGAGGUUCAACCUACGUUGAGGGCUUCGGUUUCAAAGUUGAAAUCUACUUGUCUUAGUAUAAAUAACUGUGUCGAACUGAUAGCUUUAGAAGCACAGUUGGUCGAUUAUGAAGCCCCUGAUGAUUUUUCUUAGCUACUAUGGUUAUGGUCAUAGUUGGGAGCGUAUUGGUGCCAGGAUCUGGAGGGCAGUUUCGUACUGGAUACAUAAAUGUUGUAACUGACCCCAGAAGAAUUAGUUACAAAAUCUGGGCAACACAUAGCUACCGCGAGAUUAUAAAGUCUAUUUCCAAGUAUCAGGCUAGGAAGUUGACUCACAUAAUCGAAUGCACGACUUUCCUCCAACUUAUGUAUAUGCACCAUCUUGAAGUGCCCAGGGCGUUUUUUGACCGGUCCAUUGCACCAAUAUAUUAUUGGACCGAUGAAGCCUUUAGGGAUCAGAAGGUUUAUAUCAUGGCCAAUGGUGGCUAUAGUGGCAUGAAAAAGAGUUGUGGAUGUGGCACUUCCUCAGGCGAGUGAACCAUCGAGUGGGAUGGAACAUGGUGCAAUAAUGCUAGAGAAGGUGACUAAACUUGGUCAUCAGUUGGAAGUAGUGAUUGCAUUAUUGGUUGUUCUACCAGAGACUAUCAAGAGUAUGGUAUUGAGGAAGGACAGUGGUUUGUGGGAGAAUCUACAACUAGAACCUUCUGUUGAAGUAAGAGGCAAGCCUAAGAGUGGAGAUGAAGGAGUCGAUGUCUGAGAGGCAAACGAUGCAGCUAAGGAAGUCCCUGAAAUUGUUGAUCUUACACAGGUUGCAAUCAAAAGUACUUCUAUGGUUCCAGAUAGAAGCACUAUUGUUAUACCGCCAGAACCAAGAUUUUAGGGUGUUGAGGGAUACAGGGAAUUAUGUUCAAGUGGUGGUGUGAUGGUAGGACCUUUCAGACUCUCUGCAUCAGUGACAGAACAGAUGUAUAAGUUGGCGGAGUACUGGUAUAACCCUAUCCUUAGUGAUAUGUAAGUCUUGCCUCAUGUUCAUAUUUAUUUGUAGUUGUUGUUUUAGCUUCUUUGUAGGCUUUAUAUUUCAUUGGCAUAUACAAGAAUUUGUUGUGUGACUACAGCAACUUGGAAGUGGAUCGUCACUGCAUGUGAUCAAUGUAGCCCGACCAAUGGAUUCUUGAGGAGGCAAGUGUUUUAUGUGGAUGAAACUUGUUCUUUUUGUUUUGUGACCAUUUUGAUCAUUUGGGGACAUUUUAUUUAAUUCAAUUUGUUUUUGGAGCUAAUUACAUGCUACACCAGAAUAUUGACAGUGGAAGAGAAUAAGAAAUAUGGACCUGGGGAACCCCAUAGAGUUUGGCUCAUGACAGCUAGGAUUUCUAUGAGUUAGAAUAUAAUUGUUUUGGAGGCCUUGGUUUUUUUAUGUUUAGCUUUAGGCCUAUAUAUGUUGAAGUUGAUCAUGAUUCUUUAAAUUCUUUUUUUUUCAUAGGCAAAACAACUAACCAAACACUACCGAAUUGACCUUGCUGCUCGUGAUGGAAACUAGGUGAAGCAUCAUUUUGGGAAUUUUAAAUUUUGUUGCGAGAUGGUUUACCUGUUUAGAGUGACUUCUUAUUAGAGAAUCGGCAUUGGUUCGCAGUUCGGGUCAAUCUCAAAACCACUCUUGUGAAAUUUUGGAUUCCAGCCUCAGUGAUGAAACCAAGCUAGAGCGAUUGGAGCAGACAAUUGAAAUGAUAACUGUCUAAAUUAUGAAUUUCUAUAUGCCAUUUUUAUUUUUUGUUAAGACAUUACAGCUCCAUUCUAAAUAUGGGAUAUAUUUUUAAUAAAUGCAGUUGACUACCCUGGAUGAGUUAUUUGCAUUUGACAUUGCUGCCACAAGGGGAAGUGGGGAAUCUAUUAAGUUCUCUGAAUUUCAUAAGUCCUUUCAAGAGGGUCUACCCCAAUAAACAAAUUUGAAUGAUUGUAGUGUUUUCAUUAUGACGUAUAUGGAGGAAAUCAGUCAGGGAAACGCCAUUGCCUACGAGUUCAUGUGGAUGCUGAAAGAUAUAGGCUUUGAAAUCUCAUUGUUGGCCAUGAACUCAAUAAAUUGGGGGAGAUAGUUAGGGUCGAAAGUGAUGACCAUUUUCAGUGUAAUAUUGCUGAGAACAGUGGUGAAACAGGGCUAUCGCUUACUGAGAAAGAGACUAUUGGUCGCAGGGAAUCCCUUGGAAAUCCCACUAGAGACAAGGCCAACAGUCGCUUCUCAAACAAAAAGUCCAGAAGCAAGAAUAUGAUUCUUGUCGUGUCAUCACGGACAAGGAGUCGUAAGAAGGCUGUGCGAGGUAACUGGAUGUCUGAAAAGCAAGAAAGGUUGAAUAUGUCCUAAAUUGGUCUUUUAUUUUAUGAGCACAGGUCCUUCUGAACAAACUGAUAAUCGGACAACUACUUACUUUUGUGAACCUCCUAGAUAUUGUUCCAUAUUUUAUGAUGUUGAAGUUUUUAAAAUAUGGGACACCUAGUAAAUUAAUAUUUUGCUUGUUAAGGAUAAUGAUGGUAAUACCAAGCUUUAGUUUAUCGUAUUAGUAGAACUUGCAACUUUAUU